rnacentral:rRNA from 1 species
ACCAGGUGGCAGCAUCUGGCUAACCUUGUCCAGACUGAAAAAAGCUAAACAAGAUUGGGCCUUGUUAAUAGUUGGAUGGGAGACCACAAAAGAAUUCCAGGACCUUAGGUU